rnacentral:rRNA from 1 species
GUUAGGAAUAUUGGACAAUGGGCGAAAGCCUGAUCCAGCCAUGCCGCGUGAACGAUGAAGGCCUUCGGGUUGUAAAGUUCUUUAGCCGAUGAUUAUAAUGACUGUAGUCUGAAAAUAAGCCCCGGCUAACUUCGUGCCAGCAGCCGCGGUAAUACGAAGGGGGCGAGCGUUAUUCGGAAUCACUGGGCGUAAAGCGUGCGUAGGCGGUUUUGUAAGUUAGGAGUGAAAGCCCAGGGCUCAACCUUGGAAUUGCUCUUAAAACUGCAAGGCUCGAAUCUCGGAGAGGAUAGCGGAAUUUCCAGUGUAGCAGUGAAAUGCGUAGAUAUUGGAAGGAACACCAGUGGCGUAAGCGGCUAUCUGGACGAGUAUUGACGCUGAGGCACGAAAGCGUGGGGAUCAAACAGGAUUAGAAACCCGAGUAGUCC